UGCAAGUCGAGCGCACCUUCGGGUGAGCGGCGGACGGGUGAGUAACGCGUGGGAACGUGCCCUUUGGUUCGGAACAACACAGGGAAACUUGUGCUAAUACCGAAUGUGCCCUUCGGGGGAAAGAUUUAUCGCCAUUGGAGCGGCCCGCGUUGGAUUAGGUAGUUGGUGGGGUAAAGGCCCACCAAGCCGACGAUCCAUAGCUGGUCUGAGAGGAUGAUCAGCCACACUGGGACUGAGACACGGCCCAGACUCCUACGGGAGGCAGCAGUAGGGAAUCUUGCGCAAUGGGCGAAAGCCUGACGCAGCCAUGCCGCGUGAAUGAUGAAGGUCUUAGGAUUGUAAAAUUCUUUCACCGGGGAAGAUAAUGACGGUACCCGGAGAAGAAGCCCCGGCUAACUUCGUGCCAGCAGCCGCGGUAAUACGAAGGGGGCUAGCGUUGCUCGAAAUUACUGGGCGUAAAGGGCGCGUAGGCGGAUAGUUUAGUCAGAGGUGAAAGCCCAGGGCUCAACCUUGGAACUGCCUUUGAUACUGGCUAUCUUGAGUUCGGGAGAGGUGAGUGGAAUGCCGAGUGUAGAGGUGAAAUUCGUAGAUAUUCGGCGGAACACCAGUGGCGAAGGCGACUCACUGGCCCGAUACUGACGCUGAGGCGCGAAAGCGUUGGGAGCAAAC
rnacentral:rRNA from 1 species